AUUGAACGCUGGCGGCAGGCCUAACACAUGCAAGUCGGACGGUAGCACAGAGGAGCUUGCUCCUCGGGUGACGAGUGGCGGACGGGUGAGUAAUGUCUGGGGAUCUGCCCGAUAGAGGGGGAUAACCACUGGAAACGGUGGCUAAUACCGCAUAACGUCGCAAGACCAAAGAGGGGGACCUUCGGGCCUCUCACUAUCGGAUGAACCCAGAUGGGAUUAGCUAGUAGGCGGGGUAAUGGCCCACCUAGGCGACGAUCCCUAGCUGGUCGGAGAGGAUGACCAGCCACACUGAAACUGAGACACGGUCCAGACUCCUACGGGAGGCAGCAGUGGGGAAUAUUGCACAAUGGGCGCAAGCCUGAUGCAGCCAUGCCGCGUGUAUGAAGAAGGCCUUCGGGUUGUAAAGUACUUUCAGCGGGGAGGAAGGCGAUGUGGUUAAUAACCGCGUCGAUUGACGUUACCCGCAGAAGAAGCACCGGCUAACUCCGUGCCAGCCGCCGCCGUAA
rnacentral:rRNA from 1 species